rnacentral:rRNA from 1 species
AGUGAACGCUGGCGGUAGGCCUAACACAUGCAAGUCGAACGGCAGCACAGUAAGAGCUUGCUCUUACGGGUGGCGAGUGGCGGACGGGUGAGGAAUACAUCGGAAUCUACUUUUUCGUGGGGGAUAACGUAGGGAAACUUACGCUAAUACCGCAUACGACCUACGGGUGAAAGCAGGGGAUCUUUGGACCUUGCGCGAUUGAAUGAGCCGAUGUCGGAUUAGCUAGUUGGCGGGGUAAAGGCCCACCAAGGCGACGAUCCGUAGCUGGUCUGAGGGGAUGAUCAGCCACACUGGAACUGAGACACGGUCCAGACUCCUACGGGAGGCAGCAGUGGGGAAUAUUGGACAAUGGGCGCGAGCCUGAUCCAGCCAUACCGCGUGGGUGAAGAAGGCCUUCGGGUUGUAAAGCCCUUUUGUUGGGAAAGAAAAGCAGCAGGUUAAUACCCCGCUGUUCUGACGGUACCCAAAGAAUAAGCACCGGCUAACUUCGUG